GGUCCCGUAGCUCAGUUGGUUAGAGCGUGGUGCUAAUAUUUACCGAUUACGCCAAGGUCGCGAGUUCGACCCUCGUCGGGACCA